CAGUACAGCAGAUCACUUAAGACAUGAUUUACCAUUUCUACCACAUGGGAAAGUUACAACAUCCUACGCUGAAAAUGGACUAGACGAUACUGAUAAUAAUAAUGGUUUUAUGCAAAGUUCAAUGUAUCGACUAAUAAUUGAAAUUUUGGCAAUAAACAAGUUAAAUUUAUGGUAUCUACAACAGUCAUAUUCAAAACUUUAUAACUCAACUCAUGCAAGUUCUGUAUAUAGUGUUCUUAUAAUGUAUUACUCAUUUAAGGUUUGUUACCUAUUAGCACAUCUGAAACAACUUAACAGAUACAUUGACAAGAUAAUGAUUUAUUUUAUAAUGUUGUAGUCAGGUGUUGGUUGAUUACCUGUGAUUUUGCAAUUGUUGGCUGUUCAAUUUUAUAGUAGAGUAGUAAAUGGUGAUAGAAUUACUAUUUUAUAAUAUUAAAUGGCUUGUAUAUGUAUAUUGUUUUUUUUUUACUUUUCUAUAUUAGACAUAGAUAAUAAUAAAUAAUAUAAGUAUAUAUUAUUAUAAGUACACAACUAUAACACAAGGAUGUUUGCUAUAUUAAUAAUGAUUGAUUUCUAUUUUACAUUGCGUUUUAAUUUAAUACCAUUGAUUAUAGAAUUCUAUAAUCAAUGGUAAUACUGAGCUAUUGAAACAAUUUUCAAAAUAAUUUAAUGAAUAUAAUUGUUUUUUUUUUCAAUUAUAGUUAGCAAGAUACAUUAACCAAAGUAUACAUAUAUCCAGACCAAUUAGGAGAUUAUUCUUAUAUAUGUUUGGUAAAACAUCUGAAAAUACUGUAUAGUGUAAAAUUUUAUCAUAUUAUAUUAUCUGAAUUACUAUAGUAUGUCACUUUACUAUUAUAAAAGUUAUUUUAUCGA